rnacentral:rRNA from 1 species
GACCACUCUCCAAGGCUAACUACUCUUGUCGACCGAUAGUGGACCAGUACCGUGAGGGAAAGGUGAAAAAUACCCCGAAAGGGGAGUGAAAUAGAUCUGAAACCGUCGGCUUACAGACAGUCAGAGUCUUUCUGCGGCCCUGCCGUGGAAGGAUGAUGGCGUGCCUAUUGAAGAAUGAUCCGGGGAGUUGUUAACGGCGGCAAGGCUAAGGACGUGGACGUCCGGAGCCGAAGGGAAACCGAGUCUGAAUAGGGCGCUGAGUCGCCGUUAGGAGACCCGAAACCGGGUGAUCUACCCCUGGCCAGGCUGAAGGUCUGCUAAAACGGACUGGAGGGCCGAACUCGUCAGAAGGGCAAUUCUGUGAGAUGAGUUGGGGGUAGCGGUGUAAUGCCAAACGAGCCCGGAAAUAGCUGGUUCUCCUCGAAAUGCGUUCAGGGGCAGCCUGAGAGUGAGGAUGCCGGAGGUAGGGCUCUGGAUGGGCUAGGGGGCGUGAGCUUACCAAACCCAACCAAACCCCCAAUGCCGGUCAUCUAUCUCUUGGAGUGAGACGGCGAGGGAUAAGCCCCGUCGUCGAGAGGGUAACAGCCCAGACCGCCAGCUAAGGUCCCUAAGCGUACGCUAAGUGUGAAAGGAAGUGGGGUUCCCCAGACAGCUGGGAGGUUGGCUUAGAAGCAGCCAUCCUUCAAAGAGUGCGUAACAGCUCACCAGUCGAGGGGCCCUGCGCCGACAAUGUAACGGGGCUAAGCGUACCGCCGAAGCUGCGGAUUUCCGUCCUCCCUCGGGAGGGCGGGAGUGGUAGAGGAGCGUCGCCAGUGCGGUGAAGCCUGGCUGUAAAGCUGAGUGGAGCGCUGGCGAGUGAGAAUCCCGGAACGAGUAGCGCUAAUCCCGAUGCAAACUCGGGACGCUGAAAGCCCAAGGAUUCCUACGGUACGUCAAACGGCGUAGGGUGAGUCGGGGCCUAAGGAUAACCCGCAAGGGGAUGCCGAAGGACAGUCGGUCAAAAUUCCGACACCGCCGCCCGUUCGUUGAACCACCGGGGACGGGGUCUAGCAGGCGCGGCCGGCCCAUUGGACAUGGCCGGUCCGCCCCGGUAAGCGCCGAAAGGCGCCCAGGGGGGCGGGGAAGCGCAGCUACGGCUGCGCGAACCGCGUCGGGCGGGACUUCCAAGAAAAGCCGUGUGGGGAGGACAGGUGGCGCCCGUACCGCAAACCGACACUGGUGGGCAGGGGUGAGUACCCCAAGGCGUUCGAGAUAACCCCCGCUAAGGAACUCGGCAAAAGAGCGCCGUACCUUCGGAAGAAGGCGCGCCGCCUAGGGUGAUGGGGCUUGCCCCCGGAGCCUCGUGCGGUCGCAGCGCAGCAUCUCUGGCGACUGUUUAACUAAAACACAGGUCCGUGCUAAGGGGAAACCCGAAAUAUACGGGCCGACGCCUGCCCAGUGCCGGAAGGUUAAAGGGAGAGGUGAAGCCGCAAGGCGUAGCUUUGAUCUGAAGCCCCGGUGAACGGCGGCCGUAACUCUAACGGUCCUAAGGGAGCGAAAUCCCUUGUCGGGUAAGUUCCGACCCGCAUGAAAGGCGGAACGACCGGAGAACUGUCUCAGCGGGGGACUCGGUGAAACUGCAUGGCCUGUGAAGAUGCGGGCAACCCGUGGCGGGACAAAAAGACCCCGUGAAGCUUUACUGCACCUUGGCAUUGAUCUGGGGUCUGGGAUGUGGAGGAUAGGUGGGAGCCGAUGAGGCGGGGCCGCUAGGUUCCGCGGAGGCGACGUUGAAAUACCACUCUUCCUUGACUUUGGCUCUAAUCCGCGCGAGCGGAGACCGUGCCAGGCGGGCAGUUUUACUGGGGCGGUUGCCUCCUAAAUGGUAACGGAGGCGUCCAAAGGUCCCCUCAGGACGGAUGGAAAUCGUCCGGCGCGCAUAUGGGCAGAAGGGGGCUUGACUGCGAGGCUUACAAGCCGAGCAGAGUCGAAAGUCGGGCCAAGUGAUCCUACGGUUCCGAGUGGAAGGGCCGUGGCUUAUCGGAUAAAAGCUACUCCGGGGAUAACAGGCUGAUGUUGCCCAAGAGUUCCUAUCGACGGCAACGUUUGGCACCUCGAUGUCGACUCGUCCUAUCCUGGGGCUGCAGGAGGUCCCAAGGGUCCGGCUGUUCGCCGGUUAAAAGGGUACGUGAGUUGGGUUCAGAACGUCGUGAGACAGUUCGGUCUCUAUCUGCCACGGGAGCAGGAGGUUUGAGGGGCGUCUUCCUCAGUACGAGAGGACCGGGAAGAACGGCCCUCCGGUGUGCCGGUGGUCCCGCCAGGGGCGCAGCCGGGUAGCCGAGGCCGGAAGGGAGAAGCGCUGAAAGCAUCUAAGCGCGAAACCCACCCCAAUACUAGACCUCCCAUCCCUCGCAAGAGGGAGUAAGGCCACCGGAAGACUACCGGUUAAGAGGGCGGAGGUGUAAGUCCUGUAAGGGAUUCAGCUGACCGCUCCUCAUCGGCCGAGGCCUUUUCC